rnacentral:rRNA from 1 species
ACUCGUUGGUAAGGUAGUGGCUUACCAAGGUUGCAACGGGUAACGGGGGAUCAGGGUUCGAUUCCGGAGAGGGAGCCUGAGAAACGGCUACCACAUCCAAGGAAGGCAGCAGGCGCGCAAAUUACCCAAUCAAGACGAUGGGAGGCGGUGACCAGAAGUACUGGGUGGUGAUCGUUAGAUCACUAAUCCCGGAAUGAGCAUAAAGUAAAAAUUUAGUCGAGUAACAACUGGAGGGCAAGUCUGGUGCCAGCAGCCGCGGUAAUUCCAGCUCCAGUAGCAUGUCGUAAAGUUGUUGCGUUUAGAACGCUCGUAGUUGGAUCAUAAGGUAGCUUCAGUACAAUCUUGCUCAUGACGUUGACUCCAUCUAGACUGGUGUCUGAUUGUUAACUCAGUCUUUCGCUGUCUUGUAUGGUGUUGUGUGUAACGAUUAUUGCUGAAGUAUACUAUUUGCAUAUGAGGAUAGUGAUUAGCCUUUAGUGCGUUGGUCAUUGUGUCUCAUAGAGUGUGCCUUGAAUAAAUCAGAGUGCUCCAAGCAGGUACAAGCCUGUAUGAUACAGCAUGGAACGAACAAACGUGUUACGUAUGUCUUAAUGUCUCUCACGGGAUGAUUUGAUAUACAUCACCAGCCACCAUGUACGGAUGUUGGUUUCCGUAUUGGGGUGAGGAUUAAAACGAGCGGUUGGGGGCAUUGGUAUUUGGUCGCGAGAGGUGAAAUUCUUAGACCGACCAAGGACUAACAAAAGCGAAGGCAUUUGCCAAGACCGUAUCGAUUAAUCAAGAACGAUAGAGAGAGGUUCGAAGACGAUCAGAUACCGUCCUAGUUCUCUCUGUAAACUAUGCCAACCCGAGAUCAGUCUAGUGUUUAUUAACCAUGCACUAGGUUGGUCCCCCUGGGAAACCUCAAGUUUUUGGGUUACGGGGGGAGUAUGGUCGCAAGGCUGAAACUUAAAGGAAUUGACGGAAGGGCACCACCAGGGGUGGAGCCUGCGGCUUAAUUUGACUCAACACGGGAAAACUCACCGGUUCCGGACGUUAAUAGGAUAGACAGACUGAUAGAUCUUUCUUGAUAUGACGCGUGGUGGUGCAUGGCCGUUCUUAGUUCGUGAAGUGAUUUGUCAGGUCGAUUCCGGUAACGGACGAGAUCCAUUUCCCCAUUUACUAUGCGGAAUAGUUGUGGGUAACCAUGACUCUAGUUGCUAGCUCCAGAUUGUGGCUAUAACCUAGUCACAAACUGGUUUUGGCAGCUUUUCUUUCGCAAUGUUGUGUACGGAAACGUAUGCGGCUGCAUGGAGAGACAACUGACUUAAAUUCAGAGGAAGUUUGGCAAUAACAGGUCUGUGAUGCCCUAGA